AGAGUUUGAUCCUGGCUCAGGAUGAACGCUGGCGGCGUGCCUAACACAUGCAAGUCGAACGAAACUUCUUUAUCACCGAGUGCUUGCACUCACCGAUAAAGAGUUGAGUGGCGAACGGGUGAGUAACACGUGGGCAACCUGCCCAAAAGAGGGGGAUAACACUUGGAAACAGGUGCUAAUACCGCAUAACCAUGGUUACCGCAUGGUAACUAUGUAAAAGGUGGCUAUGCUACCGCUUUUGGAUGGGCCCGCGGCGCAUUAGCUAGUUGGUGAGGUAAAGGCUUACCAAGGCGAUGAUGCGUAGCCGAACUGAGAGGUUGAUCGGCCACAUUGGGACUGAGACACGGCCCAAACUCCUACGGGAGGCAGCAGUAGGGAAUCUUCCACAAUGGGCGAAAGCCUGAUGGAGCAACGCCGCGUGGGUGAAGAAGGUCUUCGGAUCGUAAAACCCUGUUGUUAGAGAAGAAAGUGCGUGAGAGUAACUGUUCACGUUUCGACGGUAUCUAACCAGAAAGCCACGGCUAACUACGUGCCAGCAGCCGCGGUAAUACGUAGGUGGCAAGCGUUAUCCGGAUUUAUUGGGCGUAAAGGGUGCGCAGGCGGUCCUGCAAGUCUGGAGUGAAACGCAUGAGCUCAACUCAUGCAUGGCUUUGGAAACUGGAGGACUGGAGAGCAGGAGAGGGCGGUGGAACUCCAUGUGUAGCGGUAAAAUGCGUAGAUAUAUGGAAGAACACCAGUGGCGAAGGCGGCCGCCUGGCCUGUUGCUGACGCUGAGGCACGAAAGCGUGGGGAGCAAAUAGGAUUAGAUACCCUAGUAGUCCACGCCGUAAACGAUGAGGACCAAGUGUUUGGGGGGUGAAACCUCAGUGCUGAAGUUUACGGCAGUGAAGUCUCCGCCUGGGGAGUUAUGCACCGCCAGUGUGAAAACUCAAAGGAAUUGACGGGGACCCGCUCAAGGCGGUGGAGUAUAUGGUUUAAUUAGAAGCAACGCGAAGAACCUAACCAGGCAUUGACAAUGGGAUGCGAAGAUGCAGAGAUGGAUCGGAGAAAAAACAUCCACACAGGUGGUGCAUGGUUGUUGUCAGCUCGUGUCGUGAGAUGUUGGGUCAAGUCCCGCAACGAGAGCAACCCUUGUGGCAUGUUGAUAACAGGAAAAGCUGAGGACUCAUGCCAGACUGCCGGUGACAAACCGGAGGAAGGCGGGGAUGACGUCAAAUCAUCAUGCCCCUUAUGGCCUGGGCUACACACGUACUACAAUGGCGGCUACAAAGAGCAGCGAGACAGGGAUGUCGAGCGAAUCUCAUAAAAGCCGUCCCAGUUCGGAUUGGAGGCUGCAACCCGCCUCCAUGAAGUUGGAAUCGCUAGUAAUCGCGGAUCAGCAUGCCGCGGUGAAUACGUUCCCGGGCCUUGUACACACCGCCCGUCAA
rnacentral:rRNA from 1 species